UUUAUUCUCUUGAAUUUAUAGUGGAAAUGUCAGGGGCCAUUGGUGGAAUUUUCACCAAAAGGAAAGAGCACACAACCCAUCAGAAAGGAAAAAUCGGGAAAAAGUAAGAGCACUUCCACCAAAAAGUCAAUAAAAAGCACCAAGAAAUAAGGAAACAAAGGGUGAAGUAAAGAUACAAAUGAAGAAUUUAAGGCAAGAAAUCAAAGAAUAAAAGAUGCUUUCCGGCUCGAGUAUUUCCUGCAUUCCAACUUUAGUUUUCCGUUUUAAACAACCAAACAUUAAGAACUAAUGCAAUGUACUUGUGGAUCAAAACUAUUGAUACAGAUAACAGAGAUGCUGAAAUGAAGAGAGCUUGGCAACGUUGUUGAUAUAAGAAGGGCAAAACAAGUGUGCGGGUACAAUAAAUAAAACCACCUUUGCAAGAUCUUUCAAACUUAGAUUCCUGCCUAUGUCUCACCGAAUCAGAUGAAACCAUUGUGUAUACAAGAUUCAAUCCACAGUGGGGUGUGGAGGGACAGGGAGGAGUUAGAAUUCUUAUUAACAUUACUUCCUUUACUACCCGUGACAGUGCAUUCUGAUAAGAAAAUUCAUGGUUAGCGGGCUAAUUUAAAUAUAUAAAUCUAAAUAGGACGGGAGAAGCAAAGGAACCUGGGAAUACAAAAUUUUAAAAAUAAAUCAGUAAAUGAAAACGAAAGUGAGCAAGUGAAUUUAUUUCUAAAGAGAAAGGACUGAAUUUAGACUACUUUCUAUUGUUCUGGUCUUAAAGUCAUAGCGUUAUAGUCAUACCGCAUAGAAUAGGCCCUGCUGCCCAUAUUGCCCACAGGCCAACACGUCCCAUCAACACUAGUAGUCCCGCCUGCCUGCAUUUGGCCUAUACCCCUCUAAACCUGUCCAAGUGCUUCUUAAACGUUGCAAUAAUACCUGCUUCAACGACCUCCUCUAGCAGUCCAUUCCAUACACCUACCACCCUUUGUGUGAAAAAGUUACCCCUUAGAUUCCUAUUAAAAAAGAGCCUCUGUGCAACUACCCAAUCUAUCGCUAUCUUGAUUUUGUACACCUCUAUAAGAUCACUCUUCACCCUCCUGCACUCUAAAGAAUUGAGUCCUAGACUGCCAAACUUCUGACUAGCUCAGGCCCUCGAGUCCUGGAAACAUCCUUGUAAAUCUUCUCUGCACACUUUCCAGCUUGACAUCAUUCUUAUAACAUGAUGCCCAAAACUGACCACAAUACUCUAAAUACAGCCUUACUAACAUCUUAUACAUCUGACCUCCCAACUUCUAUACUCAAUGCUCUGACUGAUGAAGGCCAAUGUGCCAAAAGCCAUUUUGUCCAACCUAUCCACAUUACUGCCAUUUUCAAUGAACUAUGUACCUGUAUUGUAGAUCCCUCUGCUCUACACUCCCCAGAGCCCUACCGUUCACUGUGUACGGUCUGCCCAUGUCAGUGCUCCCAAAAUACAACAUCUUACAAUUCUCUGUAUUAAAUUCCAUCAACCAAUCUUCAGCCCUCCUGCCCAACUGAUCAAGAUCCUGGUGCAAUUUUUGACAACCAUCUUCACUAACUACAAUGCCACCCACUUUUGUGUCACCUGCAAACUUGCUAAUCAUGCCACAUACGUUCUCAUCCAAAUCAUUGAUAUAGAUGACAAACAGCAGUGGGUCCAGCAUCGAACCCUGGGGCACACCACUAGUCACAUGCCUC